rnacentral:rRNA from 1 species
AUUGAACGCUGGCGGCAGGCUUAACACAUGCAAGUCGAGCGGAUGAAGGUAGCUUGCUACUGGAUUCAGCGGCGGACGGGUGAGUAAUGCUUAGGAAUCUGCCUAUUAGUGGGGGACAACGUCCCGAAAGGAGCGCUAAUACCGCAUUCGUCCUACGGGAGAAAGCAGGGGACCUUUGGGCCUUGCGCUAAUAGAUGAGCCUAAGUCGGAUUAGCUAGUUGGUAGGGUAAAGGCCUACCAAGGCGACGAUCGGUAGCGGGUCUGAGAGGAUGAUCCGCCACACUGGGGCUGAGACGCUGCACAGACUCCUACGGGAGGCAGCAGUGGGGAGUAUUGGACAAUGGGGGGAACCCUGAUCCAGCCAUGCCGCGUGUGUGAUGAAGGCCUUUUGGUUGUAAAGCACUUUAAGCGAGGAGGAGGCUACCUAGAUUAAUACUUUAGGAUAGUGGACGUUACUCGCAGAAUAAGCACCGGCUAACUCUGUGCCAGCCGCCGCCGUAAUAC